rnacentral:rRNA from 2 species
GAUGAACGCCGGCGGUGUGCCUAAUACAUGCAAGUCGAACGCGUUGGCCCAAUUGAUUGAUGGUGCUUGCACCUGAUUGAUUUUGGCCGCCAACGAGUGGCGGACGGGUGAGUAACACGUAGGUAACCUGCCCAGAAGCGGGGGACAACAUUUGGAAACAGAUGCUAAUACCGCAUAACAACGUCGUUCGCAUGAACAACGCUUAAAAGAUGGCUUCUCGCUAUCACUUCUGGAUGGACCUGCGGUGCAUUAGCUUGUUGGUGGGGUAAUGGCCUACCAAGGCGAUGAUGCAUAGCCGAGUUGAGAGACUGAUCGGCCACAAUGGGACUGAGACACGGCCCAUACUCCUACGGGAGGCAGCAGUAGGGAAUCUUCCACAAUGGGCGCAAGCCUGAUGGAGCAACACCGCGUGAGUGAAGAAGGGUUUCGGCUCGUAAAGCUCUGUUGUUAAAGAAGAACACGUAUGAGAGUAACUGUUCAUACGUG